GGUGGCUCAGUGGGAGAGUGCUUGCCUUGCAUGCAUGAGGCCCUGGGUUCAAUUCCUCAGUACCA
rnacentral:tRNA from 1 species